UGCGUAGGCGGACCUUUAAGUCAGUGGUGAAAGUUUGCGGCUCAACCGUAAAAUUGCCAUUGAAACUGAAGGUCUUGAGUGUAAAUAAGGUAGGCGGAAUGUGUUGUGUAGCGGUGAAAUGCUUAGAUAUAACACAGAACACCAAUUGCGAAGGCAGCUUACUGGGAUACAACUGACGCUGAGGCACGAAAGCGUGGGGAUCAAACAGGAUUAGAUACCCUGGUAGUCCACGCAGUAAACGAUGAAUACUAACUGUAUGCGAUAUACUGUAUGUGGUAAAGCGAAAGCGUUAAGUAUUCCACCUGGGGAUACGUUCGCAAGAAUGAA
rnacentral:rRNA from 1 species